UACGUAGGGUGCAAGCGUUAAUCGGAAUUACUGGGCGUAAAGCGUGCGCAGGCGGUUUUGCAAGACAGAUGUGAAAUCCCCGGGCUUAACCUGGGAACUGCAUUUGUGACUGCACGGCUAGAGUGUGUCAGAGGGGGGUAGAAUUCCACGUGUAGCAGUGAAAUGCGUAGAUAUGUGGAGGAAUACCGAUGGCGAAGGCAGCCCCCUGGGAUAACACUGACGCUCAUGCACGAAAGCGUGGGGAGCAAACAGG
rnacentral:rRNA from 1 species